UACAGAGGUGGCAAGCGUUGUUCGGAAUUACUGGGCGUAAAGGGCUCGUAGGCGGCCAACUAAGUCAGACUUGAAAUCCCUCGGCUUAACCGGGGAACUGCGUCUGAUACUGGAUGGCUCGAGUUUGGGAGAGGGAUGCGGAAUUCCAGGUGUAGCGGUGAAAUGCGUAGAUAUCUGGAGGAACACCGGUGGCGAAGGCGGCAUCCUGGACCAACACUGACGCUGAGGAGCGAAAGCCAGGGGAGCAAACGGG
rnacentral:rRNA from 1 species